rnacentral:sRNA from 1 species
GAUGCCAGGGUCAAAAGGUCAAAGAGCCGUUCAUGCUUGCAUGAUAAGGCCUUUGAACUUGGGACCCACUAAACAUGAGAAAGUAGCGAUUUACGCAGUAAAUCAGCGGAUUUCGAAUGUUUAUAGAAUUGCGGGAGCUGCUUUGCAGCAGAGCAAUUCGUAGGCAUC